rnacentral:lncRNA from 1 species
AAAUAGCUAAAGAAAAAGAGAAAAACAAGAUGAAGGGGAGAAAACCAUUUACCCCAAAAAAGAAAAAGAGAGAAAGAAGAAGAAGAAGAAGAAAAAGAAGUGGCUUAAUUACCAUAUAUUGUGACUCAUAAAUCCACUGCAUUAAUGGUGCGUUUACAGGUUCCAUAGCCUAUCAGAGUUUGAUGAUAAUAAAAGGAGUUGUCGGAGGCGUUUAGCUGGACACAAUGAGCGGCGUCGGAAAACCUCCUCUGAAUAUCAUGGAGAGUGAACAAAACCCCAGAGCAAAUAAGAUUAUUAAACUGCAGGCAUGGUUAUUAAAAAGCGAGGAUUGCUAUAUAUCUUUCUCAUAUAAAAUGCCUCUUUUCUACGUACCUCUAGCCUAGCGUGCUCUCUCUCUUCUGUCAAUCCUCAACCUUGAUUAUCCA